rnacentral:misc_RNA from 1 species
GAAAAAUAAAUCACAGAUAACCAAAAUUAAAAUAAAAAAAAGCAAUAAAAGAGAACCCAAAUGAUGAAAAAUAGAGAGAUUUAUUUCACCUAGAAGGGUCGUUGCAGAAGAGAAAAUGGAUUGGCUUCCUUCAAUCCAUGUGCAAAAACAGUGAGAAUCGAUCUCAUAGAUAGGGAAAGUCUCGAGCAAAGGCCUCCCCUUUGCUGCAUUUGUCA